CCCUUAGAUGUUCUGGGCUGCUCGCGCGCUACACUGAAGCUAUCAACACGUUUUCCCUCCCUGAGAAGGGCGGGUAACCUUUUGAAUCAGCUUCGUGGUAGGGAUCGGGGCUUGCAAUUGUUCCCCGUGAACCAGGAAUUCCUAGUAGACGCGAGUCAUAAGCUCGCAUCGAUUAAGUCCCUGCCCUUUGUACACACCGCCCGUCGCUACUACCGAUUGAACGUUUUAGUGAGGCAUUUGGACCGACGCAUCUCAGUUUAACCGCUGGUUUGUGUUGGAAAGACUUCCAAACUUGAGCGUUUAGAGGAAGUAAAAGUCGUAACA
rnacentral:rRNA from 1 species